rnacentral:rRNA from 1 species
AGUCGAGCGGUAGAGAGAAGCUUGCUUCUCUUGAGAGCGGCGGACGGGUGAGUAAUGCCUAGGAAUCUGCCUGGUAGUGGGGGAUAACGUUCGGAAACGGACGCUAAUACCGCAUACGUCCUACGGGAGAAAGCAGGGGACCUUCGGGCCUUGCGCUAUCAGAUGAGCCUAGGUCGGAUUAGCUAGUUGGUGAGGUAAUGGCUCACCAAGGCGACGAUCCGUAACUGGUCUGAGAGGAUGAUCAGUCACACUGGAACUGAGACACGGUCCAGACUCCUACGGGAGGCAGCAGUGGGGAAUAUUGGACAAUGGGCGAAAGCCUGAUCCAGCCAUGCCGCGUGUGUGAAGAAGGUCUUCGGAUUGUAAAGCACUUUAAGUUGGGAGGAAGGGCAGUUACCUAAUACGUGAUUGUUUUGACGUUACCGACAGAAUAAGCACCGGCUAACUCUGUGCCAGCAGCCGCGGUAAUACAGAGGGUGCAAGCGUUAAUCGGAAUUACUGGGCGUAAAGCGCGCGUAGGUGGUUUGUUAAGUUGGAUGUGAAAUCCCCGGGCUCAACCUGGGAACUGCAUUCAAAACUGACUGACUAGAGUAUGGUAGAGGGUGGUGGAAUUUCCUGUGUAGCGGUGAAAUGCGUAGAUAUAGGAAGGAACACCAGUGGCGAAGGCGACCACCUGGACUGAUACUGACACUGAGGUGCGAAAGCGUG